GUUUAAAUCUCCUGGUUGGGUUAGGCUCUGGUUCUGUGUGGAAGUUUGAAUGUUCUCUCAGCGCCUGCUUGGGUUUCAUCCAAGUUCUCUGGCUUCCUCCAAAGACACAUGCAAGAUUCUCUCCCUGUGGGCCUAAGAAAUCUGUCUUUGUAUUCCCUCAUCUGUUUUGUCGAGCUGGUUCUCCAUUAGAAAUCGCCCCUGGAAAACCCUCCGCUCCACCACCUGCUUGCCCUCCCGCCUACGAUCUCCUUGGACCACCAUCCCAGGCUCAGGUUCUGCCUUCUGAAGCUCACCCAUCUAUGCUCUCCCCUUUGUGCCCGUGUUCUCUUGCCCAUAGUUUCCCAGUGCAAACCAUUCAGUGUUUC